AGGUGCUGCAUGGCUGUCGUCAGCUCGUGUCGUGAGAUGGUUGGGUUAACGUCCCGCAACGAGCGCAACCCUCGUCCUAGUUGCUAACGGUUCGGCCGAGCACUCUAGGGAGACUGCCUUCGCAAGGAGGAGGAAGGUGAGGACGACGUCAAGUCAUCAUGGCCCUUACGGCCAGGGCUACGCACGUGCUACAAUGGGGCGUACAGAGAGCUGCGAUACCGCGAGGUGGAGCCAAUCUCUUAAAGCGUCUCUCAGUUCGGAUUGUUCUCUGCAACUCGAGAACAUGAAGCUGGAAUCACUAGUAAUCGCAGAUCAGCUAUGCUGCGGUGAAUACGUUCCCGGGUCUU
rnacentral:rRNA from 1 species